CAGUAGCCGCGGUAAUACGAAGGGUGCAAGCGUUACUCGGAAUUACUGGGCGUAAAGCGUGCGUAGGUGGUGGUUUAAGUCCGUUGUGAAAGCCCUGGGCUCAACCUGGGAAUUGCAGUGGAUACUGGGUCACUAGAGUGUGGUAGAGGAUAGUGGAACUUCCGGUGUAGCAGUGAAAUGCGUAGAGAUCGGAAGGAACAUCUGUGGCGAAGGCGACUAUCUGGGCCAACACUGACACUGAGGCACGAAAGCGUGGGGAGCAAACAGGAUUAGAUACCCCUGUAGUCCCUGUCUCUUAUAC
rnacentral:rRNA from 1 species